AUACGGAGGGUGCGAGCGUUGUUCGGAAUUAUUGGGCGUAAAGAGCAUGUAGGCGGUCUGUUAAGUCUGGUGUGAAAGCCCGGGGCUCAACCCCGGAAGUGCAUUGGAUACUGGCAGACUUGAGUAUGUGAGAGGAAAGCGGAAUUCCGAGUGUAGGAGUGAAAUCCGUAGAUAUUCGGAGGAACACCAGUGGCGAAGGCGGCUUUCUGGACCAAUACUGACGCUGAGAUGCGAAAGCGUGGGGAGCAAACAGGAUUAGAUACCCGGGUAGUCC
rnacentral:rRNA from 1 species